ensembl:processed_transcript BC006965 cDNA sequence BC006965
ACUGACAGGGCUGAUGGUAAUGAUGACAUCUAAUGUACAUGGAGCAGCUCCAUCUGCCAGACACUACGUGUAUAGCAGUGCAGUGCAGCUCACCUGGUGAGGGCUCCUGGAGGGGACCUAAGUUGGUCCCCAAACAUAUCAGCACCUUCCUGUAUCUCUGAGUUGUUCCGGUUUACCAGUUCCCACUAAGCUAUUCCUCGGAAGAUGCUCUGAAGAAUCGAGAACCCCCAGAAGAGUCAAAUCCAAAGCGAAUCAGAGCAAAGUCACCUUUACUUCAUAUUCCCUGGGAGAUCUCGAUGCUGGAUUGCCUCUCUUCUUGUUUACCAAAUCCUAGCGGUUUUUAUGUGGAGGAGGCAGAACCUGGGGCCAGGAGACUGUCGGAGGUGGAGGAAAUUUGCAAAAUUCCUGUCUCAGUUUUUAAUUUUUUCAUUCAUUUUUGCAAAUUUUCUGCUAAACAACCUCUCACAUAUAUUGACCCAUUGUUUGUCUCCCUUCUGUAGAUCCUGCCAAGCUUUUCAGAGGGCGUGUCUUAGAGAAAGUGUAGGCAAGACACAAUCUUCCUUCUACAGGGGUCACCCAAGACCAUUGG